rnacentral:rRNA from 1 species
UAGGGAAUCUUCCGCAAUGGACGCAAGUCUGACGGAGCAACGCCGCGUGAGUGAAGAAGGAUUUCGGUUCGUAAAACUCUGUUGUUAGAGAAGAACAGCGCAUAGAGUAACUGUUAUGCGUGUGACGGUAUCUAACCAGAAAGCCACGGCUAACUACGUACCAGCAGCCGCGGUAAUACGUAGGUGGCAAGCGUUGUCCGGAUUUAUUGGGCGUAAAGCGAGCUCAGGCGGUUAGAAAAGUCUGAAGUGAAAGGCAGUGGCUCAACCAUUGUAGGCUUUGGAAACUGUUUAACUUGAGUGCAGAAGGGGAGAGUGGAAUUCCAUGUGUAGCGGUGAAAUGCGUAGAUAUAUGGAGGAACACCGGUGGCGAAAGCGGCUCUCUGGUCUGUAACUGACGCUGAGGCUCGAAAGCGUGGGGAGCGAACAGG